CUUGACUUUCUGCCGCCGUUCCGUCUGACAACAGCAUACUCACGUUACUCCAGGACUGGAGAGUCACUACGAGGUGUGUGUGGAAGCUAGGCUAACUAGCUGAGCAAACUUAGCGCCCUUGGAAGCGGAAGGAGUUUUCACGGUGUCAAAAUUGUGAGGAGAAAAGGAGGAGAGAAUUAAAGUUGCACCAGUCGAAGCUCUCUGCAUCUUGUGUCAUUAAUCCAAAUGGGCCGCUACACUAGUUUCUACUAAGGUGUCCCAUGAAUAUACAUACUAUUCUAGCCCAACACUGAACCCUCUUUUCCUCCCGGUGAUCCACAAGAACCUGGUGAUCAAGUGCGGCUGUCACUCCACACAUCACAGACCGGCUUGCAUUUUCCAGGCGUGCGUCCCAUCGAGCGUGAGAAUAUUCAUGAAGGCAAAAGAUCUGAUAAAUAGGAAACACAAGCAAGGCCAGACCAGGGACUCUCCAUGCUGGGAAGACCCAAGACCGAAGCCCAGUCAGCUGCUUGCCUCUUAACCCUUCCGAGUCCAGGUUAGUUUUGUUUACCUCUGCACCAGGGGUGUCCAAACUUUUUCCACCGAGGGCCGCACACUAAAAAAAUCAAAGCAUGCGGGGCCAUUUUGAUAGUUUUUAUUUUUAAAACCAGUACAGUAUUUAGAUUUUUUUAAACUUCAGUCAGUCAUUUGAAUAAGUCGUAUAUUUUCAAUGGAAACACGAUACCACAGUCUUGUUUUUAUUUACAGUACAAUUUGGGCGACUGAGCUGACUGUUUUUGUGUGAAAAAAACCCAUUGUGACUG